GGCACCUUGCCUCGGUUUCGGGGGCAGGCGGCCGUGUUGUACCAGGGCAACUAUAAAUUGGGUAACAACGACAUCUUUGUCCCUUCAACAUUUGCAGUAAACUAUUAAGUUUGCCAACAAGGCAGGUGCAUUGCUAUCUAACAUCGGUAUGACAUCGUUAAUUAACGAUCAACAUUAUACACGAAGAAGCCUCUGUCCAGAGUGAAAAUGAACGCUGAGAUUCCUUUGUUUCGAGGAGCCCGGCGCGCCCCAUCCUCCGGCGCGCUCUUCAAAGGACCCAACUCUUUGAAGACGAGAAACCACAAUUAAGCCUUGCCGAAGUGAAUUCAAGGACGCAUCACUUUGGUCGCAAAUAAAAGGUAUUCGUGUAA